UACGUAGGGUGCGAGCGUUGUCCGGAAUUACUGGGCGUAAAGAGCUCGUAGGCGGUUUGUCGCGUCGUCCGUGAAAACUUGGGGCUCAACCCCCAAGCUUGCGGGCGAUACGGGCAGACUUGAGUACUGCAGGGGAGACUGGAAUUCCUGGUGUAGCGGUGAAAUGCGCAGAUAUCAGGAGGAACACCGGUGGCGAAGGCGGGUCUCUGGGCAGUAACUGACGCUGAGGAGCGAAAGCGUGGGGAGCAAACAGG
rnacentral:rRNA from 1 species